UUUUGAGUUUGGAUAUGCAGCAUAAAAUUCCUCCUCAUGAGAAAGCAUAAGGAAUCCUUGCAGACUCUAAAAGCACAAGAAUCCACUACAGAGGGACCUGAGAUCCACUGUGUCCUAGAAGUUACUCAGAAAAACUGCAGCAGCACCAACAGCACCAUAACCUUGAUCCUUACAGGUAUUCCACAACCCAUGCUGAUUCACUACUUCAUUGGGACAGCUAGCUAAAAAGUAACUUGGCAUCCUCAUCAACAACGUAUGAAGAUUACGAAGACUCACUUUUUUUAACAAAACACACAAUAUGUAUUAUGUAUUUUCAACAUUAGGUUGGAUAGCAAUGAAUAUUUGGCAAAUGGAAGAAAAGGACACAUAAUCUCCUUUAUGUAUACAUAUACAGAUAAACACAAGGUAAACGCUAUAUAGGAACCCA